CGCUGCGGUCUCUCCCCGCCUACAUUAGAGUGACGACGGUGGAAGAGUGAACUUCGAGGAAGACGCUACUAUCGCUUUUUUUCUGAGCUAAUUGGCUACAAACCAACAAAUUCGAGCAUUUUGAGUUUCUCUGACAGCUUUUCGUCUUUUGAUAUACUUCUGGGGGGCAACAAUUUGCCACAGCGUUUGCCCUUUGAAUCGACUUCAACAGAAAGAAGACCUUCUACUUACAGUCGAACUGCCUUUGACAGAAGACCAGAUAAUGGCCAAGGGAACAGGCUCUCAUUCCGAAAUGGCCCGUGCUCGCCAGAGCGAUGGCCUCAAUGUGAUCUUUGACCAGAAAAGCCCCAGGUCAUCCCGAUCCUAUUCCAUAUCCCGCUCUGUGUCCAGGAGCAGCUAUGACAGCAGCCACUCCUCAGGCUCUUACAGAGGGCGCGACAGACGCAGACGCUAUUACAGAUCAUCAUCUUCAUCGUCCUCAUCUUCUUCCAGGAGCAGGUCUUCUCGCUCCAGGUCACGCUCCUACCCCCGCUGCCACAGACGCUCCUCUCGCUGUCGAUGUGACGACCACAGCAGACGCAGCAGAGGUCGUUCUAGUCAUUCCCCACCCCGCUGUUACAGGGCCCACACUCGCUCAUUCAGCCGCUCGCCAGCCAGAUGCUCGCAUCGCAGACGGUACAGGUCUCCCUCCAGGUCCCGCUCAAUUUCCCGAUCCAGGUCAUCCUUCCGCAGGUCCAGGGGCCGCGUGAGCCAGUAUCGAUGCAGAUUUUCACAAUCCUCAUCCAGGAGCCGAUCCCGAUCUGUUGGACGUUCUGUCAGCCUCAGUCUGUGUGAUAAAAGGGAACUCCUCGAAGCUGCAAAGGCAAACGCCAUGAAGAUUCUGGGAGUGGAGAAACUGGAACUUCCUGAGAGUGUGAAACCAAUCCUGUCAGAACCCGAGCGUGAGCCAAAGAAAAGGGUGAGACACGGCUCCGAAAAGACCGCAGCACAGGUGAGUGUGGCAGGAAACGUUACCUGUAUGUGGAACCUGCCAUUCACUGAAGGCGGAGCUUUUAAUACUCUAAAGACUUUGAUGUGCAUUUUCUUUCCAUAUAAAGACGAGGGAUAUGAAGAAGCUUAGAAAUAUCUCCUGUGCACAGCAGUGCUCUCUAACUUUUAAUCACAAGGUAGAGGUUAAUGCAUUGUUUUUAAAUGAUUCAGCACUCAGACUUUAUAGCUGUGACUAUAUUGUGGUCGGUGUUGUUGACUUUCCUGUCUUGUUUAACCUUUUGGACCUUGAGGGGAACACAUGCUCUUUAUUUAUUCCUGUCUUCAUAGAUGACAUGACAGUGGUCUCCUUCACUCAUCGGCACCUGGGAUUAAAGGGCUGUCAUGUGACUUGGGUGAUAACAAAAUCAGAGCCCUCCACUCGCUGAUGGAGCGCACGUGUGUGGACUGCAUUAUAGAGC